UUAAGCGACUAAGCGUACACGGUGGAUGCCCUGGCAGUCAGAGGCGAUGAAGGACGUGCUAAUCUGCGAAAAGCGUCGGUAAGGUGAUAUGAACCGUUAUAGCCGGCGAUGUCCGAAUGGGGAAACCCAGUGUGAUUCGUCACACUAUCGUUAACUGAAUACAUAGGUUAACGAGGCGAACCGGGGGAACUGAAACAUCUAAGUACCCCGAGGAAAAGAAAUCAACCGAGAUUCCCCCAGUAGCGGCGAGCGAACGGGGAGCAGCCCAGAGUCUGAAUCAGCUUGUGUGUUAGUGGAACGGUCUGGAAAGUCCGACGGUACAGGGUGAUAGUCCCGUACACCAAAAUGCACAGGCUGUGAACUCGAAGAGUAGGGCGGGACACGUGGUAUCCUGUCUGAAUAUGGGGGGACCAUCCUCCAAGGCUAAAUACUCCUGACUGACCGAUAGUGAACCAGUACCGUGAGGGAAAGGCGAAAAGAACCCCGGCGAGGGGAGUGAAAAAGAACCUGAAACCGUGUACGUACAAGCAGUGGGAGCACCUUCGGGUGUGACUGCGUACCUUUUGUAUAAUGGGUCAGCGACUUAUAUUCUGUAGCAAGGUUAACCGUAUAGGGGAGCCGCAGGGAAACCGAGUCUUAACUGGGCGUUAAGUUGCAGGGUAUAGACCCGAAACCCGGUGAUCUAGCCAUGGGCAGGUUGAAGGUUGGGUAACACUAACUGGAGGACCGAACCGACUAAUGUUGAAAAAUUAGCGGAUGACUUGUGGCUGGGGGUGAAAGGCCAAUCAAACCGGGAGAUAGCUGGUUCUCCCCGAAAGCUAUUUAGGUAGCGCCUCGUGAAUUCAUCUUCGGGGGUAGAGCACUGUUUCGGCUAGGGGGUCAUCCCGACUUACCAACCCGAUGCAAACUACGAAUACCGAAGAAUGUUAUCACGGGAGACACACGGCGGGUGCUAACGUCCGUCGUGAAGAGGGAAACAACCCAGACCGCCAGCUAAGGUCCCAAAGUCAUGGUUAAGUGGGAAACGAUGUGGGAAGGCACAGACAGCCAGGAUGUUGGCUUAGAAGCAGCCAUCAUUUAAAGAAAGCGUAAUAGCUCACUGGUCGAGUCGGCCUGCGCGGAAGAUGUAACGGGGCUAAACCAUGCACCGAAGCUGCGGCAGCGACACUAUGUGUUGUUGGGUAGGGGAGCGUUCUGUAAGCCUGCGAAGGUGUGCUGUGAGGCAUGCUGGAGGUAUCAGAAGUGCGAAUGCUGACAUAAGUAACGAUAAAGCGGGUGAAAAGCCCGCUCGCCGGAAGACCAAGGGUUCCUGUCCAACGUUAAUCGGGGCAGGGUGAGUCGACCCCUAAGGCGAGGCCGAAAGGCGUAGUCGAUGGGAAACAGGUUAAUAUUCCUGUACUUGGUGUUACUGCGAAGGGGGGACGGAGAAGGCUAUGUUAGCCGGGCGACGGUUGUCCCGGUUUAAGCAUGUAGGCUGGUUGUCCAGGCAAAUCCGGAUAAUCAAGGCUGAGGUGUGAUGACGAGGCACUACGGUGCUGAAGUAACAAAUGCCCUGCUUCCAGGAAAAGCCUCUAAGCAUCAGGUAACAUUAAAUCGUACCCCAAACCGACACAGGUGGUCAGGUAGAGAAUACCAAGGCGCUUGAGAGAACUCGGGUGAAGGAACUAGGCAAAAUGGUGCCGUAACUUCGGGAGAAGGCACGCUGGUGUGUAGGUGAAGUCCCUGCGGAUGGAGCUGAGACCAGUCGAAGAUACCAGCUGGCUGCAACUGUUUAUUAAAAACACAGCACUGUGCAAACACGAAAGUGGACGUAUACGGUGUGACGCCUGCCCGGUGCCGGAAGGUUAAUUGAUGGGGUUAUCCGUAAGGAGAAGCUCUUGAUCGAAGCCCCGGUAAACGGCGGCCGUAACUAUAACGGUCCUAAGGUAGCGAAAUUCCUUGUCGGGUAAGUUCCGACCUGCACGAAUGGCGUAAUGAUGGCCAGGCUGUCUCCACCCGAGACUCAGUGAAAUUGAACUCGCUGUGAAGAUGCAGUGUACCCGCGGCAAGACGGAAAGACCCCGUGAACCUUUACUAUAGCUUGACACUGAACAUUGAGCCUUGAUGUGUAGGAUAGGUGGGAGGCUUUGAAGCGUGGACGCCAGUCUGCGUGGAGCCAACCUUGAAAUACCACCCUUUAAUGUUUGAUGUUCUAACGUUGGCCCCUGACCGGGGUUGCGGACAGUGUCUGGUGGGUAGUUUGACUGGGGCGGUCUCCUCCCAAAGCGUAACGGAGGAGCACGAAGGUUAGCUAAUCCUGGUCGGACAUCAGGAGGUUAGUGCAAUGGCAUAAGCUAGCUUGACUGCGAGCGUGACGGCGCGAGCAGGUGCGAAAGCAGGUCAUAGUGAUCCGGUGGUUCUGAAUGGAAGGGCCAUCGCUCAACGGAUAAAAGGUACUCCGGGGAUAACAGGCUGAUACCGCCCAAGAGUUCAUAUCGACGGCGGUGUUUGGCACCUCGAUGUCGGCUCAUCACAUCCUGGGGCUGAAGUAGGUCCCAAGGGUAUGGCUGUUCGCCAUUUAAAGUGGUACGCGAGCUGGGUUUAGAACGUCGUGAGACAGUUCGGUCCCUAUCUGCCGUGGGCGCUGGAGAAUUGAGGGGGGCUGCUCCUAGUACGAGAGGACCGGAGUGGACGCAUCACUGGUGUUCGGGUUGUCAUGCCAAUGGCACUGCCCGGUAGCUAAAUGCGGAAGAGAUAAGUGCUGAAAGCAUCUAAGCACGAAACUUGCCCCGAGAUGAGUUCUCCCUGAGACUUUAAGUCUCCUGAAGGAACGUUAAAGACGAUGACGUUGAUAGGCCGGGUGUGUAAGCGCAGCGAUGCGUUGAGCUAACCGGUACUAAUGAACCGUGAGGCUUAACCUU
rnacentral:rRNA from 1 species